rnacentral:rRNA from 1 species
GACGAACGCUGGCGGCGUGCCUAACACAUGCAAGUCGAACGGGGUGAGCCUCCUCGGAGACUUACUUAGUGGCGAACGGGUGAGUAACGCGUGAGAAACCUGCCUUUCAGUGGGGGACAACAGUUGGAAACGACUGCUAAUACCGCAUAAUGUUAUUUAGGGGCAUCCCUGAAUAACCAAAGCUUUAUGUGCUGAAAGAUGGUCUCGCGUCUGAUUAGCUAGAUGGCGGGGUAACGGCCCACCAUGGCGACGAUCAGUAGCCGGUCUGAGAGGAUGAACGGCCACAUUGGGACUGAGAUACGGCCCAGACUCCUACGGGAGGCAGCAGUGGGGAAUAUUGGGCAAUGGGGGAAACCCUGACCCAGCAACGCCGCGUGAAGGAAGAAGGCCCUUCGGGUUGUAAACUUCUUUUAGUCAGGGACGAAGAACGUGACGGUACCUGCAGAAAAGCAACGGCUAAACUAACGUG